GUGGGUUGUGUUUACCUAAGCGACUAAGUCGCCCUUUAUGUCUAAGAAACAUAUGAAUUCAUAUUGAUGCAUGUUAAUAAAAUGACAUAGCUAAUGCGUGUGGACAAUGUGAUGCAAACUGCUAAGUAGAUGCAUAUAAAAUGAUGUAAUAUAGAAAUGCUUAUUGACAUAAUGACAUAGUCUAGAAAUGCUAAAUGUAAUGUGCAUGUUAAUAUGAUAAGAAACCAUGCUAGUGAUAUUUGCAUGAUAAUGCAUUGAUAGUACAUGCUAGUAAGUAAAUGCAUAUUAAUACAUAUGUGUAUAAUGAGCAUGUUGGAUAAGAUUCGUGUACAUGUAGACUCGAGAUGACAAUAGGAUGUCAAGUAGAUCGAGUGGCACUUAACCUAGUGUUAAAGAACAUAGGUUGUGAAUUAAUCUAGAGUCAUGUGAACUAGAUCGAGUGGCACUUAACCUAGUGUUAAAAAACAUAGGUUGUGAAUGAAUCUAGAGUCAUGUGAACUAGAUCGAGUGGCAUCUAACCUAGUGUUAAAGAACAUAGGUUGUGAAUGAAUCUAGAGUCAUGUGAACUAGAUCGAGUGGCAUAUAACCUAGUGUUAAAGAACAUAGGUUGAGAAUGAACCUAGAGUUAAUCGAAUCUAGGUGUGUGGUAUUAACCUAGUGUCGAGAACAUAGGUUGAGAAUUGAGCCUAGAGUUAAAGUAAACCUAGGAUACGUGAUAAAGGCAUUGAACCUAGAGUCAGUUGGACCUAGGGUGAAAAGGACACUGGAUAUAACACACUGGACCUGUGCAAAUUGCGAGGUUCGAGUGAUUGGAUGUGUUUCGAGCUUUU
rnacentral:lncRNA from 1 species